CUUGCAGGCAGCGGUUUGGGUGAGGGUGUGGGGCUGGGGGCAGCCGCUGAGGGUGGUCCCCGCCCUGCCCGGGGAGGAGCGCGGCUGCCCCGGGGCCCCCCACGCCACUGUGGCGGGAGUUUUUAAUGCCACCCACGAGAUAUCAAUCUCUGCUCCCUCCAAGACAAAUGCCGUGUCAGGCCGGCUGCCUGGACCCCUUAUUUAUCACCAUUUAAUAUAUAUUAAAGCGCUCACACCUCUGAUUGCCAAAACAAACAAAAAAAAACUGCAUCAAUCACAGGCCGGCAACAGUCGGGAGGCAGGUGGGGCGCUCAGGGUGUCCCCUCCGGCCCAAACUCCCUUGGCCUCCCUGCCCUAGCAGAGGCCCGGUAUCCUCCUUCGGCCCAGGUCACCCCCUACCACGUGCAGCGAUGCCCCGUGGGCAGGCCAGCUCUCCCCACUCCCUCCCCCAGCGAAGCCAUCGCGGUGCAGAGGACACAAGGCACAGAGGGCUUGGCCUGUAGCCAGCAAGAGUUCAAGAAGACACGGCGGCCUGGCACCACUUCCUGACAGAUCUCCGAACCCAUCACGGCCACCCUGUCCCAGCAGGGAGCUGGGGCCCCGUGGCCUCCGUGUUAGGAUGGGGAAACGGCAUAGUUGUGAUGGACCCAGGGCAGACUCUUUCACCUGGAGAAACGGACCCAAUUCCAGGGAAAUGUUGAAAUACAGAGCAGCGAUUGUAGUCGGAGACGGUGGGGAGUGGACAGACCUUUUCCUGUCAGGUGCGUUGGCCGCCGUGGACUUGCGAAUGUGGGCAAUAGAGACAAGACUGAACGUAGCCGGAGGCGGAGCCAGGAUCCUCGGGGCACAGGCGGUGCAUGGAGACCCAUAAAUGGAGAAACUGAGGCCUGGGCCAGGCAGGCUCACACCCUGAUGGGCAGCCUGUACAUCAACGGUCCCUCCACCCCCAGGAGGAAUUGCCCCUUUUCAAUAUCACUUCUCUGCAAGAUGUCGGAGCCAUGGGGUCAAACGUGCCAAGGACGUUCCUGCAGGCUUCGCUCAGGGCAGGGGCAGAGGGGCACUCGAUGCCAGUCACCAAAGGCACUGACAAGUGCUGUUGUAAAGAACAUGACUUGGUUUGAGUCCUGAGUUCUCCAGAUCAGUGUGAGCAGGAGCCCCUUGCUUUCGAAGCACCCCCAUUACCUUCCCGGGGUUGGAGGAGGGGUGGAACUUCCUUCUCCCCUCCUGGGGUCACACCCCGUGCCAGGUUCUGGGAU
rnacentral:lncRNA from 1 species